rnacentral:rRNA from 1 species
AUACGUAGGGGGCGAGCGUUGUCCGGAAUGACUGGGCGUAAAGGGCGUGUAGGCGGCCUGAUAAGUCUGGAGUGAAAGUCCUGCUUUCAAGGUGGGAAUUGCUUUGGAGACUGUCGGGCUUGAGUGCGGAAGAGGUAAGUGGAAUUCCCAGUGUAGCGGUGAAAUGCGUAGAGAUUGGGAGGAACACCAGUGGCGAAGGCGACUUACUGGGCCGUAACUGACGCUGAGGCGCGAAAGCGUGGGGAGCGAACAGGAUUAGAUACCCUGGUAGUCCACGCGGUAAACGAUGAAUGCUAGGUGUAGGGGGUAUCGACCCCUCCUGUGCCGGAGUAAACACAAUAAGCAUUCCGCCUGGGGAGUACGGCCGCAAGGUUGAAACUCAAAUGAAUUGACGGGG